rnacentral:rRNA from 1 species
CAAUAGCGUAUAUUUAAGUUGCUGCAGUUAAAAAGCUCGUAGUUGGAUUUCGGGUGGGAAUGGCCGGUCCGCCGUUUCGGUGUGCACUUGCUACGCCCACCUUGCUGCCGGGGACGUGCUCUUGAGUUCACGCUCGGGACACGGAGUCGGCGAGGUUACUUUGAGUAAAUUAGAGUGUUCAAAGCAGGCCUACGCUCUGAAUACAUUAGCAUGGAAUAACACGAUAGGACUCUGGCCUAUCUUGUUGGUCUGUAGGACCGGAGUAAUGAUUAAGAGGGACAGUCGGGGGCAUUCGUAUUUCAUUGUCAGAGGUGAAAUUCUUGGAUUUAGGAAAGACGAACUACUGCGAAAGCAUUUGCCAAGGAUGUUUUCAUUAA